GGGUAUGUUUCACAUGGUUUUGAUUUUGUUUAAAAAUUAAAUGGCAACUGCAUGCAAGAGCAACUUGGAGAGAAUGACCGCUCAGGCCAGCAAAGUCUCUGCAGCUGCCACCUGCCUUUCUAUCACAU
ensembl:snoRNA